GCCGCUAUGGCGGAAUUGGCAGACGCACAGGAUUCAAAAUCCUGCGGUAGCAAUAUCGUGCCGGUUCGACCCCGGCUAGCGGCA
rnacentral:tRNA from 1 species